AUUGAACGCUGGCGGCAGGCCUAACACAUGCAAGUCGAACGAGAGGCGGACGGGUGAGUAUCAUCUGGGAAACAGUCCGAUGGAGAGGGGUAACUACUGGAAACGGUAGCUAAUAUACCACACCAUCUGAUGUGACCAGAUGUGAUUUGCUCGUUGGUGGGGUAACGGAGCACCUAAGCGACGAUCCCUAGCUGUUCUGAGAGGAUGACCAGUCACACGGGAACGUAGACACGGUCCAGACUCCUACGGGAGGCAGCAGUGGGGAAGAGUGCACAACGGGGGCAAGCCUGAUGCAGCCAGGCCGCGUGUAUGAAGAAGGCCUUCGGUUUGUAAAGUACUUUCAGCGGGGAGGCGUUACUCGCAGAAGAAGCACCGGCUAACUCCGUGCCAGCAGCCGCGGUAAUAC
rnacentral:rRNA from 1 species